rnacentral:rRNA from 1 species
AUGGGCUCGUCACCUCACGUCAAAUUCCUCAUGAUGGUGAGCCGACUUGUCGUGGACAACUUCUUGGGGGUCUUGGCGGUGGCCGUCGCUGCCGCCGUGGUCGGGAGGGCGUGGCCCAUUCGCCCCGAAGAGAUCCUAGACCAGAUGCUCGCCUUGCCGCGUGUCUACGUCUUCAUGGCGGCGAUCCUGGCGGCGGCCAUGGAGAAGAUGCGGCGCAUGCGGCGGCUGCGGGAUGUGUACCUCGUGGAGUACGGCUGCUUCCGGCCCAAGCCCUGCUACCGCACGCCGUUCGCCACGUGUCUGGAGCAUGCGCACCUCAUGCCGUACCUCGUCGACGAGGAGAGCGUCGCCUUCGCGAUGCGGCUGCUCGAGCGCUCCGGGCUCGGCGAGGAGACAUGCGUGCCGGACGCGUACCACUACAUGCCCCCGGACCGCAGCCUCAAGGCGUCCCGGGACGAGGCCGAGCUGGUCAUCUUCGCCGCCGUCGACGACGUGUUCGCCAAGACGGCCGUCAUCAAGCCAGCCGACAUCGACGUGCUCAUCGUCAACUGCAGCAUCUUCACGCCGGUUCCGGUGUUUGCUGACAUGGUCGUCAACAAGUACAAGCUCCGCUCCGACGUGAAGAUCAUGAACCUGUCGGGGAUGGGUUGCAGCGCUGGGCUCGUCUCCGUCGGCCUCGCCAGGAAAAUCCUCCAGGUGGCGCCGCCAGGCACGCGCGUGCUGAUAGUGUCCACGGAGAUCCUCUCGUCGCAGUACUACGUGGGCACGGAGCGUGCGAUGCUGCUGCCCAACUGCCUCUUCCGCAUGGGCGCCGCGGCCAUGAUCCUCUCCAACUCCGCGAGUGAGGCGCGGUUUCGUCUCCGGCGCGUGGUGCGCACCGUCACCGCCGCACGGGACGCGGACUACCGCUGCGUGUUCCAGGAGGAGGACGACAAGGGGAACACCGGCAUCCGCCUCUCCAAGGACCUCGCCACCACCGCCGGCUACGCGCUCAAGAACAACAUCGCGGCUUUCGGGCCCCUCGUCCUGCCGGCCACGGAGCAGCUCCUCGUCGCGCUGUCCCUGCUCAAGCGGAGGCUCCUAAGAGGGCGCGCCAAGGUGAGGCUGUAUCGCCCGGACUUCCGCACUGCGUUCGAGCACAUCUGCAUCCACGCGGGCGGGCGUGGAGUGAUCGACGAGGUUCAGGACGGCCUCGGCCUCUCCGACGACGACGUGGAGGCGUCGCGGAUGACGCUGCACAGGUUCGGCAACACGUCCAGCAGCUCGGUCCUGUACGAGCUGGCGUACCUGGAGGCCAAGGGGCGGAUGAAGAAGGACGACAGGGUGUGGAUGAUCUCCUUCGGCGCCGGAUUCGACUGCAACAGUGUCUCGUGGGAGUGCGUCAAGCCGGCCGGCGACGCCGACGGGCCGUGGGCCGAGUGCGUCGCCCGCUACCCCGUGCAGCUGCCCGAAAUCGACAAGGACAUGUGA